GGAUGGAAAGAUAUUCAUGAUGUGUUCCAUGCUCAGCUGAGAAUAAUAUUUACCUAGCUAUACUGUUGUCACCAUUGAAAUAUGGAUCAAGCCAAGUACAGAUGAUAAACCUGGAGAAAGGAUGUUGGCAGGAAGAAAUCAGUUGAGGGUAGAUGGAAAGCAGUUCUUCAUUUUCUGUAAUAGGAAAUCAACACUUCCUAAAAUAACUAAAGCAAUCAGUAGCAACAUGGGCUUGCUUAUUAAGAGAAGAAGGUAAGUUCUGAAAGAUCCAUUGCUAGGAGCUUGGAGCAUGAGACAUAAGAGUUUCAGAACUGUUUGAUUAUUUAAAUCAAUCAAGAGAAUGUUUAACUGAUAAUAAUUAACAUGAAUUCAUAAUGUUGCAGACCUACCUGGAAUCCUGCAUUUCUAGAUCCUUCUUCCCCCCUGCCUCUCCCCAUUUUUUUCUCCCCAUUAUUGAACUGAAGACUGCUUUUAAAUAUCUCAUGAAAUGGUCCUACUGAAAGUCAAAUUUCCCUCCAUAUUUUCAGAUUCAAAAUAGACUUGAAUCCUAUACUGAGAGAGAGAUGCUUCUAAGAGUAAGCACUAUUUUAAGAAAAUCAUGCAAUUUGGUCAUUAACUAUAAAUAUCUUGCUAUGGUUUUUAUUUUUUGUGAUAUGUUUAAGUAUUCUAGUCCUAUUUCAUUUAUGUCUGAAGAAAGUUAAGCAUUCUUUAAAACACUUUUAGGCUGGAGUUGUGGCUCAGUGGUAGAGCACUUGCCUCUCAAGUGUGAGGCAUUGGGUUCGAUCUUAGCACCACAUAAAAACAAAUAAAGGCAUUGAAUCCAUAUACAAUAAAAAAUAAAUAAAAAACUUUUAAUGAUCACAUCACAAUAGGCCGUUUUCAUUUUGUGAAAUUAUGCAGAUUUAUUUUUGAUUGAUGUCUUCAUAUCCUGUCUUUAUAUCCUUUAUAUCCUGUCUUUAUAUCCUGUUUUCCCAGCAUCAUAUUUUAAAACAAGUGUUCCAGAAUAAAAGCUGUAUCAGUGUUCACUUUGAUUUCAAAUGUUUUAUGUUUAAUAAUUUUCCUCCAGUUAGGAGGGAAGCUCUCCAUCCUCCUGUGUGCCUGCUGGGGUUGUUAUGGUGGCCACUUUGUAAUGACAUCUCUUGGAUGUUGGUUAGAGGAGGUGACUGGGGUCUAUAAUCUUGGGUGUCGAAUUCCUGAAAGCUCUCUUUGAAGCUACUACAUAAUUUUUCUACUCAUGUUUCUGAGCACAAUAAGGAGUCAUUUUUUUUGUCAUAAUGUUCAUUAAAACUUUUGCCUUUGAA